ACUGGUGUUCGGGUUGUCAUGCCAAUGGCACUGCCCGGUAGCUAAAUGCGGAAGAGAUAAGUGCUGAAAGCAUCUAAGCACGAAACUUGCCCCGAGAUGAGUUCUCCCUGACUCCUUGAGAGUCCUGAAGGAACGUUGAAGACGACGACGUUGAUAGGCCGGGUGUGUAAGCGCAGCGAUGCGUUGAGCUAACCGGUACUAAUGAACCGUGAGGCUUAACCUUACAACGCCGAAGGUGUUU
rnacentral:rRNA from 1 species